AUUUUGACUGUACAAAGGUAGCAUAAUCAAUAGUCUCUUAAUUGGUGACUUGUAUGAAAGAUUGGAUGAGAUAUAUACUGUCUCUAAUUAAUUUAUAGAAAUUAAUUUUUUAGUAAAAAAGCUAAAAUAAUUUUAAAAGACGAGAAGACCCUAUAGAGUUUAAUAAUUUAUUUAAUUAUUAUUAAUAUAUAAUUUUUAAAAUUAAAAUUAAAUAAAUUAUUUUGUUGGGGUGAUAAAAAAAUUAAAUUAACUUUUUUUAAUUAUUAACAUUAAUUUAUGAAUAAAUGAUCCAUUUAUAGUGAUUAAAAGAAAAAAUUACCUUAGGGAUAACAGCGUAAUUUUUUUUUUUAGUUCAAAUAGGAAAAAAAGUUUGCGACCUCGAUGUUG
rnacentral:rRNA from 1 species